UCCGAGUUGACCCCGGCGGUCUCCCAAGAGUCCCCACCAUUACGUGCUGGCAACAUGGGACAGGGGUUGCGCUCGUUGCGGGUCCUCGACCUUUCGGCCUCGUACCACGUGCAUGUCAAGCCCAGGUAAGGUUCUUCGCGUUGCGUCGAAUUAAACCACACGCUCCGCUGCUUGUGCGGGCCCCCGUCAAUUCCUUUGAGUUUUAGCCUUGCGGCCGUAGUCCCCAGGCGGAGUACUUAUCGCGUUAGCUGCGGCACCGAGGGGGUCGAUACCCCCGACACCUAGUACUCAUCGUUUACAGCGUGGACUAC
rnacentral:misc_RNA from 1 species